rnacentral:rRNA from 1 species
UUAAGUUAAUAAGGGCGCACGGUGGAUGCCUUGGCACUAGGAGCCGACGAAGGACGUGACAAACGACGAUAUGCCUUGGGUAGCUGUAAGUAAGCGAUGAUCCAGGGAUUUCCGAAUGGGGGAACCCAACAGGUAAUACCUGUUACCUACAUCUGUUAAGGAUGUGAGGAGGAAGACGCAGUGAACUGAAACAUCUAAGUAGCUGCAGGAAGAGAAAGCAAAAGCGAUUGCCUUAGUAGCGGCGAGCGAAACGGCAGAAGGGCAAACCGAAGAGUUUACUCUUCGGGGUUGUAGGACUGCAAUGUGGACUCAAAGAUUAUAGAAGAAUGAUUUGGGAAGAUCAGCCAAAGAGAGUAAUAGCCUCGUAUUUAAAAUAGUCUUUGUACUUAGCAGUAUCCUGAGUACGGCGGGACACGUGAAAUCCCGUCGGAAUCUGGGAGGACCAUCUCCCAACCCUAAAUACUCCCUAGUGACCGAUAGUGAACCAGUACCGUGAGGGAAAGGUGAAAAGCACCCCGGGAGGGGAGUGAAAUAGAACCUGAAACCGUGUGCCUACAACAAGUUCGAGCCCGUUAAUGGGUGAGAGCGUGCCUUUUGUAGAAUGAACCGGCGAGUUACGUUAUGAUGCGAGGUUAAGUUGAAGAGACGGAGCCGUAGGGAAACCGAGUCUGAAUAGGGCGCCUUAGUAUCAUGACGUAGACCCGAAACCAUGUGACCUACCCAUGAGCAGGUUGAAGGUGCGGUAAGACGCACUGGAGGACCGAACCAGGGCACGUUGAAAAGUGCUUGGAUGACUUGUGGGUAGCGGAGAAAUUCCAAACGAACUUGGAGAUAGCUGGUUCUCUCCGAAAUAGCUUUAGGGCUAGCGUCGACAUUAGAGAUUCUUGGAGGUAGAGCACUGUUUGGGUGAGGGGUCCAUCCCGGAUUACCAAUCUCAGAUAAACUCCGAAUGCCAAUGAAUUAUGGUCGGCAGUCAGACUGCGAGUGCUAAGAUCCGUAGUCGAAAGGGAAACAGCCCAGACCACCAGCUAAGGUCCCAAAAUAAUUGUUAAGUGGAAAAGGAUGUGGGGUUGCACAGACAACUAGGAUGUUAGCUUAGAAGCAGCUAUUCAUUCAAAGAGUGCGUAAUAGCUCACUAGUCGAGUGACCCUGCGCCGAAAAUGUACCGGGGCUAAAACAAUUUACCGAAGCUGUGGAUACCUUUAUAGGUAUGGUAGGAGAGCGUUCUAUGUGUGAUGAAGGUAUACCGUGAGGAGUGCUGGAACGCAUAGAAGUGAGAAUGCCGGUAUGAGUAGCGAAAGACAGGUGAGAAUCCUGUCCACCGUAAGACUAAGGUUUCCAGGGGAAGGCUCGUCCGCCCUGGGUUAGUCGGGACCUAAGGAGAGACCGAAAGGUGUAUCCGAUGGACAACAGGUUGAUAUUCCUGUACUAGAGUAUGUAGUGAUGGAGGGACGCAGUAGGCUAACUAAAGCAGACGAUUGGAAGAGUCUGUCUAAGCAGUGAGGUGUGAAUUGAGUCAAAUGCUUAAUUCUAUAACAUUGAGCUGUGAUGGGGAGCGAAGUUUAGUAGCGAAGUUAGUGACGUCACACUGCCAAGAAAAGCUUCUAGCGUUUAAACAUACUCUACCCGUACCGCAAACCGACACAGGUAGUCGAGGCGAGUAGCCUCAGGUGAGCGAGAGAACUCUCGUUAAGGAACUCGGCAAAAUGACCCCGUAACUUCGGGAGAAGGGGUGCUGACUUAAAGUCAGCCGCAGUGAAUAGGCCCAAGCAACUGUUUAUCAAAAACACAGCUCUCUGCUAAAUCGUAAGAUGAUGUAUAGGGGGUGACGCCUGCCCGGUGCUGGAAGGUUAAGAGGAGUGCUUAGCGUAAGCGAAGGUAUGAAUUGAAGCCCCAGUAAACGGCGGCCGUAACUAUAACGGUCCUAAGGUAGCGAAAUUCCUUGUCGGGUAAGUUCCGACCCGCACGAAAGGCGUAAUGUUUUGGGCACUGUCUCAACGAGAGACUCGGUGAAAUUUUAGUACCUGUGAAGAUGCAGGUUACCCGCGACAGGACGGAAAGACCCCAUGGAGCUUUACUGCAGUUUGAUAUUGAGUGUCUGUACCACAUGUACAGGAUAGGUAGGAGUCUAAGAGAUCGGGACGCCAGUUUCGAAGGAGACGCUGUUGGGAUACUACCCUUGUGUUAUGGCCACUCUAACCCAGAUAGGUGAUCCCUAUCGGAGACAGUGUCUGACGGGCAGUUUGACUGGGGCGGUCGCCUCCUAAAAGGUAACGGAGGCGCCCAAAGGUUCCCUCAGAAUGGUUGGAAAUCAUUCGCAGAGUGUAAAGGUAUAAGGGAGCUUGACUGCGAGAGCUACAACUCGAGCAGGGACGAAAGUCGGGCUUAGUGAUCCGGUGGUUCCGUAUGGAAGGGCCAUCGCUCAACGGAUAAAAGCUACCCUGGGGAUAACAGGCUUAUCUCCCCCAAGAGUUCACAUCGACGGGGAGGUUUGGCACCUCGAUGUCGGCUCGUCGCAUCCUGGGGCUGUAGUCGGUCCCAAGGGUUGGGCUGUUCGCCCAUUAAAGCGGCACGCGAGCUGGGUUCAGAACGUCGUGAGACAGUUCGGUCCCUAUCCGUCGCGGGCGUAGGAAAUUUGAGAGGAUCUGCUCCUAGUACGAGAGGACCAGAGUGGACUUACCGCUGGUGUACCAGUUGUCUUGCCAAAGGCAUCGCUGGGUAGCUAUGUAGGGAAGGGAUAAACGCUGAAAGCAUCUAAGUGUGAAACCCACCUCAAGAUGAGAUUUCCCAUGAUUAUAUAUCAGUAAGAGCCCUGAGAGAUGAUCAGGUAGAUAGGUUAGAAGUGGAAGUGUGGCGACACAUGUAGCGGACUAAUACUAAUAGCUCGAGGACUUAUCCAA